AGAAGAAGAAGAAGAAGAAGAAGAAGAAGAAGAAGAAGAAGAGGAAAUAGGUCUUCCUCCUCCUCUUCUUCUUCUUCUUCUUCUUCUUCUUCUUCU
rnacentral:pre_miRNA from 1 species